AUGUAUCAACCCUUCACUUGUUGAGCGGUUUGGAUGUGGGGGUUUGCCUGGCCUCUUAAAAGGUUUUGGCUCCCCUAAAAUGCAUUAGCAGAACAACCCUGUUCAUUGGUGUGAUAAACUAUCUACGCUAUUGAAUGUGAAGGGCAGUUUGGCUUUCUAACAGUCCUCGGACAAACUCAUCAUUA
rnacentral:misc_RNA from 1 species